GAAAAAUUACGACUGCCUAGGAAAAGGGCAUAUCAACCAGCAUAAAAAAGAAUCAACUCAGAAGCUCUUUCCGAAUAAUAAUGAAAAAUCAUCUCGUGAGCGAAAAGUUCCUGUCUUUUUCAAGCAGGAUCAAACAACCGUCACCAAGACUAGUCAUAAAGGUUUUGCUUGGCUCAAACACAAAAAAGAAACACAAAAAAAC
rnacentral:lncRNA from 1 species